rnacentral:rRNA from 1 species
UACAGAGGGUGCAAGCGUUAAUCGGAAUUACUUGGCGUAAAGCGUGCGCAGGCGGUUAUGUAAGACAGAUGUGAAAUCCCCGGGCUCAACCUGGGAACUGCAUUUGUGACUGCAUAGCUAGAGUACGGUAGAGGGGGAUGGAAUUCCGCGUGUAGCAGUGAAAUGCGUAGAUAUGCGGAGGAACACCGAUGGCGAAGGCAAUCCCCUGGACCUGUACUGACGCUCAUGCACGAAAGCGUGGGGAGCAAACAGG